rnacentral:rRNA from 1 species
GUGUCAGCAGCCGCGGUAACACGUAGGGGGCGAGCGUUGUCCGGAUUUACUGGGCGUAAAGAGCUCGUAGGCGGUUCGGCAAGUCGGGUGUGACAGCUCCAGGCUCAACCUGGAGAGGUCACUCGAUACUGCUGUGACUAGAGUCCGGUAGGGGAGUAUGGAAUUCCCGGUGUAGCGGUGAAAUGCGCAGAUAUCGGGAGGAACACCAGUGGCGAAGGCGGUACUCUGGGCCGGAACUGACGCUGAGGAGCGAAAGCGUGGGUAGCAAACAGGAUUAGAUACCCUGGUAGUCC